rnacentral:rRNA from 1 species
UACGUAGGGUGCAAGCGUUGUCCGGAAUUAUUGGGCGUAAAGAGCUCGUAGGCGGUUUGUUGCGUCGGCUGUGAAAUCCCGAGGCUCAACCUCGGGUCUGCAGUCGAUACGAGCAAACUAGAGUGUUGCAGGGGAGACUGGAAUUCCUGGUGUAGCGGUGAAAUGCGCAGAUAUCAGGAGGAACACCGGUGGCGAAGGCGGCAUCCUGGACCAACACUGACGCUGAGGAGCGAAAGCCAGGGGAGCAAACGGG